UGAUACUUUAUCUUCUAUUCCUGUUAAAAGGUUUGUCCUUUGGUUCAAGGUCAUUGAAGGAUUGCGUCCUGCUUGGUUUGUUGUAAUUUGAUUUCUGAUUUGUUUUCAGUUUAGAAUUGAGAGGAUAUGAUAUAAAUAUUGUAGAGAAGACUAAAGUUUCUAUGGUGCAUUGAGCGGAUUCUAACCAAGAAUUCUAAAAUGUAAAUCUUUAUUUAUAUUUUUAUGUGAUGCUGCAGGAAAUGACAGGAAUUGGACGAGGUAAAGGUAGGCGAGGUGGAAAGGGUCGUGGAUGCGGUAAUGUAGGAGUACUACAUGAUAAUUCUAUUGCGGUCAUCCUUUAGACCUAAUCCACAAAACACAACUAUCUCCAGAUAUGGGACAAUCGAGUAACCCGCAUCAAGUACAAUCUAUGGACUCAUUAUCAUCAAGGGCUUAUGUAGAAAAUGUGCAUCCCACUCCAGAGACUGAAAAUAGUGGUGCAGGUAAUCUUUGUGAAAAUAGAGAUAACAAGAAAGGCUGAGGGAGAUACAAAUCUCUACAUAUGGAUAUGAAAACUAAGUAUGGCAGUAAAAUUCCCAUCAUCAUUCCGGAUGACAUUGUGAGAGCUAUAGGUCCAGGGUCUAGGGAUAUUGUAAACUACUGUGGCUUGAUUAUGGGGAGCACUAUCUCAUUCAGAGAUGGUGAUUGGAAAGCGAUAAUUGCGAAACAUGGAGAAGCGACGUGGUUGAAGGUUAAGGAUAAAUUUGAAGCUAGUGGUAUGCGAGAACAUGUGUUGCAAGUUCUUGUUGUUGACACUAUGCGAAGGCUUUUUAGAGCAUGGAAGACUCGAUUGCAUAAAGAAUACAAUCUCUAUACUACUGAUAAAGAGAGACUGUCUCAUAGGCCGGAUGAUGUUACGCCUGAGAAUUGAGUGUUUCUUGUAGGACUUUUUGGGAGUCCAAAAUUCAAGGCUGCAAGUGAGAGGAACAAACUUAAUAGGGGAAAACAGAUAACUAAUCACUCUUGUGGCUCAAAGUCAUUUGCCGAAGUGGAGGAAUCGACGAGAGAUCCUGUUAGUGGAAACAAAGCAGCACCAUAUCGAGUUUGGGAGCUCCAACAUACUCGUAAGGAUGGCAAAGGAAAAAUUGUAUGGUCGGAUCCAUAGUCGCAAAAAAUUCAUGGCCAACUCAAGGAAAUUGUAACUCAACAACAAUCUGAAGAAAAUGAGCAGCCAAUGAGUGCAGAUGAGAUUUUAGCCAUUGUACUUGGUGAACGAAAUGACUAUGUUUAUGGAAAAGGGUAUGGAAAGAAGCCUACAAAAAAGCAGUUUGCAGCAGGUAGACUUAGAGGCGAGUAUGUCUUCUCAAAUGGAAAGAAUAUGUCAAGAGAUGCAAGAGAAAAUGGAUAGAAAAUUACAAGAAGAACGUAAGCAAAUGGUUGCCGAGUUGAAAAGCAAGCUAGAAGAAGAAAUGGCUGCUGAGUUGCAAAGUAAGCUAGAAGAACAAAUGGUUGCUGAGCGUGCACAGAUAGAUUUACAAGUUGACAAAAAGUUUGAUGAAAAGAUAGAUGCAUGGCUGAUCAGAAUGCAACAGCAAGGACAAGACACUUCAAGAACGAGGAAGUGGAGUUGCUCAAGGUGUAGUUUGAAAAUAUUUUUAUGGUCGUUUUGUUUAUCGUAGAAGACAUUGGAGUAUGUCUUGAAGACUAUUCCUUUUUUGUUUGUGUCAUGAAAUGGAAAUGUAUAUACAUUGACUACUUUUGACUGUGUAGACUUUUUAACAUUAAAAAGACUAUAAUUCUGUUUUGAGAAUUA